AGCUUUACACAGUGGCAGUAUCAUAGCCAGUGAGGUUUAUCCAAGAUGUGAUUUGCUAAUUGAAAACUUUUCCCAAUACCUCGCCAUGAAGACUUGCAAUAUAGUUGGCACUGGCAAUUUUUGAGCGGCUCUAUGGAGG